rnacentral:lncRNA from 1 species
AUGUUUUGCUGGCUUAGAGGUUUUGAUUCCAGAGGGAGGAAUGCUUUGACCAGGAGACAAAACAAUGAUCCCAUUGAUCUGGAAGUGAAGACUGCUGCCCACUUUGGGCUCCUCAUGCCUCUGAGUCAACAGGCAAAGAAGAGAGUUACUGUGUUGGCUGGAAUGAUUGAUCCUGGCUUUCAAGUUUGUAUUGCUGCUGCGGGCACCUGGCUGCAAUGCUCCUCAGCAUACCUGGCCCGAGGAAAGUUGCAGAAAGAUGGCAUGAUAAGAAUGUGAGAGUCAUGCAAAGGUGAUCUCUGCACAUGUUGGGUCUUUUUCUGCCUUUGGCCAGGAGUGGAAACAGCCUGAGGCCCUCACCAGAUGUAGAUGCCCAAUCUUGAACUUUCCAGCCAUCAGAAUCAUGAACCAAAUAAACUUUUUUUUUCUUUAUAAAGUACCCAGCCUCAGGUAUUCCUUUAUAGCAACACAAAGUGGACCAAGACACCAAUACUAGUGUCCUUAUAAGGUCAUCUGAGCACACAGACAUACACAGAGAAGGCUUUGUAAAGAUGGAUGCAAAACUGAAGUAAAGAAGCUACAAGUUAAGGAACACCAAGGAUUGCCAAUAACUGCUAGAAGCUUGGAAGAAGGAGGGAAGGAUUCUUCCUUCCACCCUUCAGAGGGAUCAUGGC